rnacentral:rRNA from 1 species
UUAAAUUGAAGAGUUUGAUCAUGGCUCAGAUUGAACGCUGGCGGCAGGCCUAACACAUGCAAGUCGAACGGUAACAGGAAUCAGCUUGCUGCUUUGCUGACG